rnacentral:rRNA from 1 species
GGUUGAGUACUCGUGGGCAACCUGCCCUGCACUCUGGGAUAACUUCGGGAAACCGGAGCUAAUACCGGAUAACACCUUCCAUCGCAUGGUGGCGGGUUGAAAGUUCCGGCGGUGCAGGAUGGGCCCGCGGCCUAUCAGCUUGUUGGUGGGGUAGUGGCCCACCAAGGCGACGACGGGUAGCCGGCCUGAGAGGGCGACCGGCCACACUGGGACUGAGACACGGCCCAGACUCCUACGGGAGGCAGCAGUGGGGAAUAUUGCGCAAUGGGCGAAAGCCUGACGCAGCGACGCCGCGUGAGGGAUGACGGCCUUCGGGUUGUAAACCUCUUUCAGCAGGGAAGAAGCGCAAGUGACGGUACCUGCAGAAGAAGCACCGGCUAACUACGUGCCAGCAGCCGCGGUAAUACGUAGGGUGCGAGCGUUGUCCGGAAUUAUUGGGCGUAAAGAGCUCGUAGGCGGCUUGUCGCGUCGGAUGUGAAAACCCGGGGCUUAACCCCGGGCCUGCAUUCGAUACGGGCAGGCUAGAGUUCGGCAGGGGAGACUGGAAUUCCUGGUGUAGCGGUGAAAUGCGCAGAUAUCAGGAGGAACACCGGUGGCGAAGGCGGGUCUCUGGGCCGAUACUGACGCUGAGGAGCGAAAGCGUGGGGGAGCGAACAGGAUUAGAUACCCUGGUAGUCCACGCCGUAACGUUGGGCACUAGGUGUGGGCAUCAUUCCACG